UAGGGUGUAGAGGCGGUUGAAAAGAUAGUUAGUAAUUAUUAAUAAGUCAGAUGGAACGGAGGUGAGAAAUGGACAGUAUGGAUGAUCACCGAUAAUAAGAGAAUAGGAGUAGAACACCAGAUAGAAGUCAUUCUGUGUUGUCGUUCUUGGUUGUUUUUUGAGAUUGUUAUUUCUUGUGUUUCUUACGUUUUCGAGCAUAGUAGUUCUAGUUAAGAGUUUGAGAGAGGGAGCAUCAUGGCAAUUAAAAGUACAAAGUAAGCUACAAACAAAGAAGACAGUGGCUGAAAUAUGAGAGCUAGACACACAUCAAAACUACCUUCUGUGAUAAUCGUUACCAGUAUGGAACCGAU
rnacentral:lncRNA from 1 species